CUGGAUAUUACUGCCAUCUGAUUCACUUGUGUGGCCAAAUAUUCCAACCGGCCGGAAUACUGAUAUGGAGCGGGCAGUGAUUGACCUGCACUUUCAUCCAGAUGAGAAGCAAAGCCACACUUGGGAUUUUGGAGUUUGGAGUUCAAACCCAGUAUCCUCCGUGAAGACUCUCCGUACAUCCCCCUCUCCCAUGGAAUGCGAAGGUUUUCUCCAAGUCCUGCAGAUUCCUCCCACGGCUAAAACCAUUCCAGGUGUACCUUUACCAUCAAGAAUGCAGUAGUGCAAGAAGUUGGCCUGCUACCAACGUCUCAAGGACGAGUAAAGAUGGGUAAUAUAUGCUGGUUUUGCCCAAAUCCUGAAAAUAAAUACCACAGAGGAAGAGAUGCCUAGACAGUGGAUGAUACCAUAUUUGAUGCACUAACACCAUCAUUAACAGUAUUGCCAAAUCAGGCUUCCUGCAAAAUCAAGGGUGGAACUGGAUUAUGGUGGCUUACAUCAGGAAAUAAGUAUCAGAAUGGAAUGUUUUGCAGUGGGAUUUCAGUUAACACCUAUACAGCAGAGAAGGGAUUUAGUCCUUAAAAACAAACUCUUCUUGGUAGCCAU